CCUGAUCACUUGGCUACCAAGCUAGCUUUGAAAUUUACUGCUUUUGGUCAAAAUACACUCUUCAGCUAGUGCUUUCUUCCAGCUGGUUGUCUUCUUGCCUGCCCUGUGUUGUAAAAUGGGGUUCUUUUACUGCAUUAUCAAGGGGAAGGCAAGA